AUUGAACGCUGGCGGCAGGCUUAACACAUGCAAGUCGAACGGUAACAUAAAGAAGCUUGCUUCUUUGAUGACGAGUGGCGGACGGGUGAGUAAUGCUUGGGAAUCUAGCUUAUGGAGGGGGAUAACUACGGGAAACUGUAGCUAAUACCGCGUAGAAUCGAGAGAUGAAAGUGUGGGACCUUCGGGCCACAUGCCAUAGGAUGAGCCCAAGUGGGAUUAGGUAGUUGGUGAGGUAAAGGCUCACCAAGCCGACGAUCUCUAGCUGGUCUGAGAGGAUGACCAGCCACACUGGGACUGAGACACGGCCCAGACUCCUACGGGAGGCAGCAGUGGGGAAUAUUGCGCAAUGGGGGCAACCCUGACGCAGCCAUGCCGCGUGAAUGAAGAAGGCCUUCGGGUUGUAAAGUUCUUUCGGUAGCGAGGAAGGCAUUUAGUUUAAUAAACUAGGCGAUUGACGUUAACUACAGAAGAAGCACCGGCUAACUCCGUGCCAGCAGCCGCGGUAAUACGGAGGGUGCGAGCGUUAAUCGGAAUAACUGGGCGUAAAGGGCACGCAGGCGGUGACUUAAGUGAGGUGUGAAAGCCCCGGGCUUAACCUGGGAAUUGCAUUUCAUACUGGGUCGCUAGAGUACUUUAGGGGGGGGUAGAAUUCCACGUGUAGCGGUGAAAUGCGUAGAGAUGUGGAGGAAUACCGAAGGCGAAGGCAGCCCCUUGGGAAUGUACUGACGCUCAUGUGCGAAAGCGUGGGGAGCAAACAGG
rnacentral:rRNA from 1 species